UUCGCCCUACGGGGGGCAGCAGUGGGGAAUAUUGCACAAUGGGGGGAACCCUGAUGCAGCGACGCCGCGUGGGUGAAGGAGCACCUCGGUGCGUAAAGCCCUAUCGGCAGGGAAGAAAAGCGAACAGGUUCGCCUGGACGGUACCUGACUAAGAAGCCCCGGCUAACUACGUGCCAGCAGCCGCGGUAAUACGUAGGGGGCAAGCGUUAUCCGGAUUUACUGGGGGUAAAGGGAGCGUAGGCGGCAGGGCAAGCCUGAUGUGAAAGCCCGGGGCUCCACCCCGGG
rnacentral:rRNA from 1 species